rnacentral:rRNA from 1 species
UACAGAGGGUGCAAGCGUUAAUCGGAAUUACUGGGCGUAAAGCGUGCGUAGGCGGUUAUGUAAGUCGGGUGUGAAAGCCCCGGGCUCAACCUGGGAAUGCCAUUCGAGACUGCAUAGCUAGGGUGCGGAAGAGGGAAGCGGAAUUUCCGGUGUAGCGGUGAAAUGCGUAGAUAUCGGGAGGAACACCGGUGGCGAAGGCGGUUCUCUGGGCCUUACCUGACGCUGAGGAGCGAAAGCGUGGGGAGCGAACAGG